rnacentral:rRNA from 1 species
AGAGUUUGAUCCUGGCUCAGAAUCAACGCUGGCGGCGUGCCUAACACAUGCAAGUUGAGCGCUUGAGGGGGCGACCCCAAGAGAGCAGCGAACGGGUGAGUAACGCGUGGGUGAUCUUCCUUCGAGUGGGGAACAACAUCGGGAAACUGGUGCUAAUUCCGCAUAAUACCCUGGGGCUACGAGCCUCAGGAUCAAAGCCGGGGACCGCAAGGCCUGGCGCUUGAAGAUGAGCCCGCGUCCGAUUAGCUAGUUGGCGGGGUAAUGGCCCACCAAGGCUCCGAUCGGUAGCCGGCCUGAGAGGGCGGACGGCCACACUGGAACUGAGACACGGUCCAGACUCCUACGGGAGGCAGCAGUGGGGAAUUUUUCGCAAUGGGCGCAAGCCUGACGAAGCAACGCCGCGUGGAGGAUGAAGGUCUUCGGAUUGUAAACUCCUGUCGACCGGGACGAAUGCACCCAACCUAAUACGUUGAAGUGUUGACGGUACCGGUGGAGGAAGCCACGGCUAACUCUGUGCCAGCAGCCGCGGUAAUACAGAGGUGGCAAGCGUUGUUCGGAAUUACUGGGCGUAAAGGGCGCGUAGGCGGCCUUAUAAGUCUCGUGUGAAAGCCCUCGGCUUAACUGAGGAUCUGCACGGGAUACUGUAGGGCUCGAGUUCGGGAGAGGAAAGCGGAAUUCCGGGUGUAGCGGUGAAAUGCGUAGAUAUCCGGAGGAACACCAGUGGCGAAGGCGGCUUUCUGGACCGACACUGACGCUGAGGCGCGAAAGCUAGGGGAGCAAACGGGAUUAGAUACCCUGGUAGUCC